AUCAACAUCAUGUCUCUUGCAAAUUGAGGCUAACAAAUUAUAUUUUUUCAGUGACCCUGGCGAUUCAGACUGCGAUUCAGUCGAUACAUAUCUUCCCAACAACAGAGGUUCAUCAUUUGACGGAAGAAGAUUCGACAAUUUGAGCCGAUCAAGCACAUCCUCCAGCAAUCUAGGAAAGGAGGCGUCAUUUACCUGAGUAGCGCAGAAUCUCUGCCGAACAUUUUCUUGGUUCUUCUAUCGCAGAGAUGGACAAGAUGAAGGCACAGAUGACGCGAGAGAAGCCGUGACGGAAUUUGUCUGAUGGAACCAUCAUUAUCGGAUGUGAUAAAGAAAUUGUACUGUAUAAAAGUAUGAAGGUUAUAACCUCAGACCUCUUUAGAGUUCGACAGAAAGAUUCAAAAUUUUAUUAUUUAUUAUGUAUCAUUUUAAUAUUGUAAUUUUUGUAUAUAUUUCACAGAAAGGUCGUUCGUACAUGAGAAUCGGUGGAGGAGAUUUGUCAAUUUGUAUGACGAGAAUGUAUUUAGCAUUUCUUCAUGAAGUAUAUUUGUAUA